GACAGUUCCGAUGGCCGAAGUGGUUAGUGUUUCCGCCUCUGAUGUGGGAGGUCGCGGGUUCUAACCCCGCCUGAGUCA